CACAGUCGGCCCUCUCGUUGUUGUCGGUGACAGCGGUGGUGGCGGCGGCGGCUCACUUUACGACGAGCCGUCGGCUCAGCAGGUCGAACGCCUUGUUCAGGGCCAUAGAAAAAGCUCUCUGGAAGAAGGAAAGACCCCGUGAACAGACUAACAAUCAGGCAGAUGAAAACUUGGCCAUCUGAGUACAGCGGAACUGACAUGAAUUCAAGUGGACCACAGCCACCUAUUCUAUGAAGAAGCCGCAGACACGACCAGAGCAUCUGUCAAACACUGCUGGCUGGAAACAAAAAAGAGCUUCCUGGUGGACUCAAGUCCUUUUCCUCAAGUAAACAACAUCUGCAGGCAGCGGUACCUUCUGUGGCCCUGGCCAGCUGGGGGCCUGGCUAGGUGAGGCGGAGAGGACCGGGGCCCUGUUGAUGUCACCCGGUGACAGAGAGCUCCUUCCUCACCAGCUGUGGAGCUAAAGCUGCCUCUCUGACUGCAG